rnacentral:rRNA from 1 species
GACGAACGCUGGCGGCGUGCUUAACACAUGCAAGUCGAACGGAAAGGCCCUGCUUUUGUGGGGUGCUCGAGUGGCGAACGGGUGAGUAACACGUGAGUAACCUGCCCUUGACUUUGGGAUAACUUCAGGAAACUGGGGCUAAUACCGGAUAGGAGCUCCUGCUGCAUGGUGGGGGUUGGAAAGUUUCGGCGGUUGGGGAUGGACUCGCGGCUUAUCAGCUUGUUGGUGGGGUAGUGGCUUACCAAGGCUUUGACGGGUAGCCGGCCUGAGAGGGUGACCGGCCACAUUGGGACUGAGAUACGGCCCAGACUCCUACGGGAGGCAGCAGUGGGGAAUAUUGCAAAAUGGGCGGAAGCCUGAGGCAGCAACGCCGCGUGCGGGAUGACGGCCUUCGGGUUGUAAACCGCUUUCGCCUGUGACGAAGCGUGAGUGACGGUAAUGGGUAAAGAAGCACCGGCUAACUACGUG